UGAUCUGACUUCCUCAUUUAGAAUUCAUCAUGAGACGAAUCUUCAUGAAGAAUCUUUGGGUCAUAGUUUUGUUCGUGUCUGUUCGUCUGACAUUCUUCUCCUCCAAACGUUUCAGAUUCAUUGAUUCAUCGACAUUAAGAACCAUCGUUUCUCCUUCUCUAGGCGGUGUAUAUCACCUAUAAAGAGUACGUCGACAGAGCAAGCAACGGAAUAAGAGGCGGAGAGCAACAGAGCACUCAGCGGAGAGGUAUGAAGGAAGCGGCCGAGAGAGACGGAGAAAGUAGCAGAGAGAAAUAGAGUGUGACGAGAUAUAGCAAAGGCAACUGUUACAGUUCAAUCUGGCACAAGGGAGGUUGAUAGGCUCUCGGACAUGAAAACAGAUGUAGUCUUCUGGUGCUUGAAGUUCAGACAUUAAAACAACUGAGUAAAAAAAUAUCUGAAGAGCAAGGGUUGCAAGAUAAGUCACUCUUUUUCUUUAAUUAAUACAUUGACAUUCUCUUUGAUGGAUGUACUUGCGUUUAUUUUCUGUAUACAUUACAAUGCAUGAUAUGAUCAAAAUUUCACCUUACAUGUACAUGUAAAACAUGUCACUCAACAAAAUGGUUACUAAUAUCUUAGCAGAAGAAAAGUAAGACAAUUUUUCUUUAUGAUCUUUCUCAAACCCGUUGACGAUAUGAAUCGUAUCCAUUUUGAUUGGCCCGUUAUUUUCCGGUGCCUCUCAACAAUUAGUAACCAUUUGCAGUCACCGGAAAGAUCUAACAAGUCUCUGAUUUUAAUUAGGGAUCAAACCUGUGAGCUUUUGAGGUUGUAUUGUCUGUAAGACUGUAACAGAGCUUGAAAGCCCAUGACUUGGAGUUGGACCUUUGAGAAUUGGCCUCACAUUGCAUCUCGCCAUCUCCAAGGAUUGGUCUCUCCGACGUUCCAUAAAGCUAACGCGUCUCCGGAGAUGUUUACCUGAGGUUUCCCUGAGAAGAGUUUAACUUUGAUGUAUACGAAGAGACAUGGGAUGAAAAUAAAUCAGAGGAGUUUAAGAAAAUGAAGGAGAAGAAGAACAAUUUGGGUCUCAAACCUUAGAGGAGAGAAGACGACCAGAUUUAGUUUGCUUUUCCAGUCUCACUAAAACGCUCUCUGUGUGCACAAUGGUGCAUAUUGGCAAAUUGGAUAACACUCAGUCCAACAAAUACAUUAUUCUGUAGCGAGUUUCUCUGAUAUACUUCGUCGAAUUGGUUAAGCUUUGCCAACAAACAUGGGUAUGGACCAUGGACAAUAUGUUUCUCUACUCAAUAAUACAUGGUUGUGGCUACACUUGGUAUAUUCAACUCUAAAACUUCAGCUCUAAAACUUCAGCUCUAUGAUACAUUCUUUUCUGUGUUCAAAGCUUCUUGCAGCUUAGAAUCUACUGAAGUGGAUGAUCUAGAGAGGAGAUUGACUUAGCCAUAAUGAAUCUGAGAGAUGAACCUUCUUAUUUGUAGGUAUCACUCAUCAUUGUAUCAAACGAAGCAGCUUCCUUUAUUAUUUUUAGAAGUUUUGUUCUGCCAAAUAGUGUAAACAAAAUAUGUUUUAUAUAAUUUGGUCACGAUUCUAAGGAAAUUUUUCUGCUAAUAUAAGAGAAUAUCAUAUAAUU